CAGGCCACUUGAGAAAUCACUGUUCCCUUUUACCACUCUUCACAUGUAAUCUUUAUCUGUGAAGAGAAGAGAAGUUUCACUGUGAAGGUAUUUAUCUAAGACAAAUGGAAACAUGUCUGCAAAAAACUUACAUACUGAUGUCCAUAGAAGCUUUAUUCACAAUAGCCAAAGCUGAAAACAGCCUCUACGUCCAUCUCUUGGCAAAUGAGUAAGCAAAUAGGGAUGUCCAUAAAAUGGACUACUACUUGAAAAUAAAGAGGAAUGAACUGCUGAUAUGUAUGUGCAGUAAUAGAAACAUGUUGAGCCAGAUACAAAAGACUGACAUUUAUAUGAAUUUCAAGUAUGGACAAUGCUUACCCCAUAAACAGAAAACGUUAACAGUGGUUGUCUUGGGUGGAAGGGGGCAAGGACUGCGUGGAAGGGGACACGAAGGCACUUUCUGAGCCUUGGAAAUGUUCUAUUAUAUCUUGAUUGAUGUGUUGACCACAUAGGUGUACACCUUUGUCAAAAGUGGUCAAAUUGUGCCCUUAGCAUCUGUGUAUUUCACUGUCAUUUUUACUUCGAUAAAAUAUACUGGUUUUGAGAACAUUCUGGGAGAUAGAAGUCCAGUGAAUGAAUAUAUUUAUACUUAAAAAAGGCUGUCUGCUUGAAUUUGUGACACCAAAUUUUAAAAUCAGUCUAAAAUUCCAGCUCUUAACAUGAUGGGGCAGCUUCCGGAGCACAGACCUGCUUGUGUCACUGUCAGCCCCCUGCGAUAGGUGUGUGUCCUUUAUUCUUACACGGGCCUAAAGUCAGCCCAAACUCAGUGGUCACCUUCUUCUGGAUCUACAGAAGCGUGAGAAGCUGCCUCCUGCUCCCAACUACCAGUCCAAAGACUUUAACUAUUCAUUUUUCACUUCCUUUGGAAACUUAUAGAGUGCUUUGAUUUUGAAUGGCAAUAAAAGAAAUCAAUU